rnacentral:lncRNA from 1 species
AGGUUAUGGGUAUUGGGCUAGGUGGGAGCAUGAAAAUCGGGAAAAAGACAACGAGGUGUUAAUUUUGAGCGGAUGGACAAGUGGUUUUAAUUAUGACUUCACAAUGGAUUUGGCCAUCAGUCCAGACCAUUUUAAUGGUAUGUUACUUGGUCUAGUCCAAUUUAGAUAUUAAACAGAUUAAACAAGUUAAACUUUUAAUAUCUAAACCUGGCCCAAAUGUUAAAUAAGAUUAAAUAGGUCGAACUAUUUACCAUCUGAAUCUAUUUAGCCC